rnacentral:ncRNA from 1 species
AAAUAGGUGCCCAUAGGGCUUAAUAGGGAAGUCCGGUGCAAGGCCGGCGCGGUCCCGCCACUGUAAUGGGAAGCGAAACCAGAAAAUGCCACUGAGACGAUUGUCUUGGGAAGGUUUGGAUGAGCGAUGAUCCAGAGUCAGGAGAACUGCCUGUUUAAC